rnacentral:rRNA from 1 species
UACGUAGGGCGCAAGCGUUGUCCGGAAUUACUGGGCGUAAAGGGCUCGUAGGCGGCCAACUAAGUCGGACGUGAAAUCCCUCAGCUUAACUGGGGAACUGCGUCUGAUACUGGAUGGCUUGGAUUUGGGAGAGGGAUGCGGAAUUCCAGGUGUAGCGGUGAAAUGCGUAGAUAUCUGGAGGAACACCGGUGGCGAAGGCGGCAUCCUGGACCAACAUUGACGCUGAGGAGCGAAAGCCAGGGGAGCAAACGGG